GCGGCUUCUCACUAAUUUAGCUGCUUGGAGUUGUUGCGUUCGGUUUGCUGCUCUUCUUGGUUUUUGGCGGUGGCUGGCGAUAAUCCCCGCCCAGAAUUAUGAAAAUCUUAUAUUGGAACUGUCGUGGGCUCGGAAACCCAAUGACAGUUCGUGAUCUUAAACAACUCCUUAUUGUUAAAAAGCCUCUUAUUAUUUUUUUGAGUCAAACAAAAGCAAAUACCCACGAGAUGGAAUCGGUCAGAAUUAAGUGCGGC
rnacentral:lncRNA from 1 species